AACGAACGCUGGCGGCAUGCCUAACACAUGCAAGUCGAACGAGACCUUCGGGUCUAGUGGCGUACGGGUGCGUAACGCGUGGGAACCUGCCCCUAGGUUCGGAAUAACUCCCCGAAAGGGGUGCUAAUACCGGAUAAUGUCUUCGGACCAAAGAUUUAUCGCCUUUGGAUGGGCCCGCGUUGGAUUAGCUAGUUGGUAGGGUAAAAGCCUACCAAGGCGACGAUCCAUAGCUGGUCUGAGAGGAUGAUCAGCCACACUGGGACUGAGACACGGCCCAGACUCCUACGGGAGGCAGCAGUGGGGAAUAUUGGACAAUGGGCGAAAGCCUGAUCCAGCAAUGCCGCGUGAGUGAUGAAGGCCUUAGGGUUGUAAAGCUCUUUUACCCGGGAUGAUAAUGACAGUACCGGGAGAAUAAGCUCCGGCUAACUCCGUG
rnacentral:rRNA from 1 species